rnacentral:rRNA from 1 species
GACGAACGCUGGCGGCGUGCUUAACACAUGCAAGUCGAACGAUGAAAGAGGAGCUUGCCUCUCUGGAUUAGUGGCGAACGGGUGAGUAACACGCGAGCAAUCCGCCCCUGACUGCGGAAUAUCUACUGGAAACUGUAGCUAAUACCGGAGAUGCGCUGAACAAGCACCUGUUUCGGUGGGAAAGAACUUCGGUCAGGGAUGAGCUCGCGGUGUAUCAGCUUGUUGGUGAGGUAACGGCCUAACAAGGCAACGAUGGAAAGCCGACCUGAGAGGCUGAUCGGCGACCUGGGAACGGAGACACGGUCCAGACGCCUAAGAGAGGCAGCAGAAGGGAAUCUUCCGCAACGGGCGAAAACAUGACGGAGCAACGGCGCGCGAGUGACGACGGCCUCGGGAUAGUAAAACUCUGUUAUUAGGUAAGAACAUAUGUGUAAGGAAAAGUGCACAUCGUGACGGUACCUAAACAGAAAGCCACGGCUAACUACGUG